GAUGAAGAACGUAGCGAAAUGCGAUAAGUAAUGCGAAUUGCAGAAUCCGUGAGUCAUCGAAUCUUUGAACGCACAUUGCGCCCCCUGGUAUUCCGGAGGGCAUGUCUGUCCGAGCGUCAUUAGUCCAAUCUCAAGCCCGGCUUGUCGUUGGGUCGCACCGCCCGGGGCGGUGGACCCGAAAUAUAAUGACGGGGUCUAGCGGACCGUGGGCGCAGCGAGCUUUUACAGCACGCGUCCCGGCGUCAUCUAGACGCGUCUCCAACCAUACUCUCUGUAGGUUGACCUCGGAUCAGACAGGAUUACCCGCUGAACUUAAGCAUAUCAAUAAGCGGAGGA
rnacentral:misc_RNA from 1 species